UUAGAAUAUUUUAUUUUUUUCUUAAAAUUGAAAAUAAAUAAUAAUAUAAAAUAUUAAUGACUUGAAAUUCAUUAUUUUAAUAGAUAUUGAUGAAUGUUUGGAUGAUAUUCCUAAUUGUAGUCCUGAUGCUACUUGUUUCAAUACUCCUGGAUCUUAUGAAUGCCACUGUAAAUCUGGAUUUACAGGUUCAGGAUUUGAAUGUACAGAUGUUGAUGAAUGCAGUGAAAAUAAACAUGUAUGUAGUCAUAUCUGUAUAAAUUUUCCUGGAGGAUUUGUUUGUAGUUGUCAGGAUGGAUAUAUUUUAUCUUCUGAAAACAUAUUAUGUGAAGAUAUAGAUGAAUGUAAAAAUUCUUCAGAUCAUGAUUGUGAUCAUAACUGUCAUAAUAAUCCAGGUUCAUAUAACUGCAGUUGUAAUGAUGGUUAUGAAUUACUAGAUGAUGGAAAAACUUGUAUUGGUA